ensembl:lncRNA
AGAUGGUCUAAUGGUGACAGACGAUGACCUUCAACCGGAUGAUGCUGGUUCUUGCCCCGACUGGAUAGCAGAGGAACAGGAAGACAUCAAGUCAAGUUGAUUCUACCAGCAGACACUGAAAGGACUCUGAUAGUUCGGUGUCUCAUGUUCACUGUGAGGAUCUUCUGAGUGAAGCGACCAGCAGAAAAAACCUCAUCUGGAUGUGAAGGAGACUGAAUGGACGACAUCCUCAGUGAACCACUUCCUGUUUAGCUUUCACUUACAGAAGAGUGAAAGUAGCAGUUCCUCCUGAAGGUCAGAGAUUGCAGCAUCUGAGGGCCUCUUCAAAAGAAGACGUAGUUGAUGAAGGCGUUCUGGAGCAGGACCAGAAAGACCACGACCAAGCAGCCUUGAGAUCUUAGACAGCGUCUCCCUGAGUUCUUCUGGACCAGCUCAGCUUCCCCUCAGAAGAAGUGGCGCCACCUGCCAGAUGAAGGAGCCUUUUGAGAGGCAGCUGGCAUCGUGAUUGGACUGUACUUUGGUCUGUUCCAAUCCAGCUUCAGCUCCAGAGACGGCAGGCGGGACGAGUCAACGGAGGCCUGGUGGACGAAGGCAUGCAGCUGAGUACAAUCCAGAAAGAGACAUACAUUGUAGAAUUGUAGUAAUUGUGGGCUGACUGAUUUACUGAUUAUCAGUAUUUUAUUUUUUACCGGUUUACGAUAAUAAAUAAAU